rnacentral:tRNA from 1 species
GUCCUCGGACAUGGCCCGAUAUGAACCUCCCGUGCUUUUUAGAACAUAGAUGGCACCAGUCAGGUGACCAUCGAAACGUAAUACGCCGCGAUGACUUCGGUCACGACGGUAUGGCGAGCUUUCGCCGUCCACGUUUCUCUUUCUUCAAAAGGAUAUCGAACCAUGGGUUUGCGCUCGCGCGCCGUUCGCACCUUCGGUGCUGCGCUCCGCGAGGGCGCCGGACGACCGGCGACGGCCUCUGGCCUGUAUGGGCGACCCUUUCCGAGGUUUUGCUUAGGAUUGGCGUCGACGCAGAGAGAUGGGCCCGUAGCUCAGUUGGUUAGAGCACACGCUUGAUAAGCGUGGGGUCGGAAGUUCAAGUCUUCCCGGGCCCACCAUUUGCUCCAGCAAAUGAGGUUUGCUGUAGCGAAUUGUGGUUUGUUUGGGUUUACCUGAUCCUGGCGGUUUGCUGUCAGGUGUUUGCGAUGGUUGGGGCUGUAGCUCAGCUGGGAGAGCACCUGCUUUGCAAGCAGGGGGUCAGCGGUUCGAUCCCGCUCAGCUCCACCAAUUCGCUUGGUGUUGAGACUGAGAGAUAUCCUUUGAAGAAAUAAAAGUUUUGCAUCGGCUUAGGCUGAUGCGUGUUCUGCAUACAUUGUGAAGAGAAGAUUGAUCUGGAGGCUUCCAGGUGUUUUGGGUUUUGCCCAAGGCGUCCGAGCCCAGUUCUAGUGAUCCCAUGGAUGGCCUAGCCGGUCGGAUAUGGGUGAAGGACUGGAGGUAGGAAGGAAGCUUGUCGCUCUGGGUCGUUGUUGUUUGCUGUCUUUAGGGACGGCAUCUGACGGACGACUUGAUUACCGUUGCCUGACCGCGCGGUAUCGGAUCCAAUCUCGAGAAGCUGGUCUUAAGACAGGCUGCAAGCGAGCUGCUCGGCGUAGCUCCAAUAAAGCAGACCUGUCGAACACGUUAAUGGCAUUGUUGGAUUGACUGGGUUGUAAAAGGUAACCCGGUCUGUUGCCGUUCCUUCGGAACGGGCAACGAGACGAUGAGCAUUGGCAAUGAGAACGAUUAAGUGUCGUAAGGGCAUUUGGUGGAUGCCUUGGCAUGCACAGGCGAUGAAGGACGUGAUACGCUGCGAAAAGCCGUG